rnacentral:rRNA from 1 species
UACAGAGGGUGCAAGCGUUGUUCGGAAUUACUGGGCGUAAAGCGCGCGCAGGCGGAUCCUGUAAGUCUGGAGUGAAAUCUCACCGCUCAACGGUGAGGCUGCUUUGGAUACUGCGGAUCUGGAGACCGGUAGAGGCUGGUAGAAUUGCAGGUGUAGCGGUGGAAUGCGUAGAGAUCUGCAAGAAUACCCGUGGCGAAGGCG